AUUGAACGCUGGCGGCAUGCUUUACACAUGCAAGUCGAACGGUAGAGGGGGCAGCCCCUUGAGAGUGGCGAACGGGUGAGUAAUGCAUCGGAACGUGCCCAGUCGUGGGGGAUAACGCAGCGAAAGCUGUGCUAAUACCGCAUACGAUCUCUGGAUGAAAGCGGGGGACCGAAAGGCCUCGCGCGAUUGGAGCGGCCGAUGUCAGAUUAGGUAGUUGGUGGGGUAAGGCUCACCAAGCCAACGAUCUGUAGCUGGUCUGAGAGGACGACCAGCCACACUGGGACUGAGACAGGGCCCAGACUCCUACGGGAGGCAGCAGUGGGGAAUGUUGGACAAUGGGCGCAAGCCUGAUCCAGCAAUGCCGCGUGCAGGAAGAAGGCCUUCGGGUUGUAAACUGCUUUUGUACGGAACGAAAAGGUCUGGGUUAAUACCCUGGGCACAUGACGGUACCGUAAGAAUAAGCACCGGCUAACUACGUGCCAGCAGCCGCGGUAA
rnacentral:rRNA from 1 species